GGAAAGUUUAAUUUAUUUUAAUUCAAUUAAACUCGGAUCGGAUUGAAUUACGAUCAAACAAUUUCGGAUCGGAUUUCAAAAAAAUUAUCAACUGUCGGAUUGUAAACCUCCAAUCCGAUCCGAUGAUGCACACCUCUAAUGCACAUGUGCUAAUUGACACUGGUUUGAUAAGAACGUUCAUAUAUUGUUUAACCAACUAAAAGUUACAAAUGAUGCACAGUAUAAAUAAUAUGAUUAAGGUGACCAAUAAACCCUGACCCGUUUUUGGGAAUGGCCAAAGUGAAAGUGAUGUUGUGUUUGUUUGUUUGUUUGUUUGUUUGUUUGUUUGUUUGUUUGUUUGUUUGCUUGUUUGCUUGUUUGUUUGCUUGCUUGCUUGCUUGCUUGCUUGCUUGCUUGUUUGUUUGUUUGUUUGUUUGUUUGUUUGUUUGUUUGUUUGUUUGUUUGUUUGUUUGUUUGUUU